GCCGGGAUGGCGGAACGGUAGACGCAGUGGACUCAAAAUCCACCGGGGGCGACCCCGUGAGAGUUCGAGUCUCUCUCCCGGCACCA
rnacentral:tRNA from 1 species